UACGGAGGGUGCGAGCGUUGUCCGGAAUCACUGGGCGUAAAGGGCGCGUAGGCGGCGCGGAAAGUCGUCGGUGAAAGCUCGGGGCUCAACCCUGAGUCUGCCGGUGAUACUCCCGCGCUCGAGCUCACUAGAGGCAGAUGGAAUUCCGGGUGUAGCGGUGGAAUGCGUAGAGAUCCGGAAGAACACCGGUGGCGAAGGCGGUCUGCUGGGGUGAGGC
rnacentral:rRNA from 1 species